rnacentral:lncRNA from 1 species
GAGGAAGAGAAAGUCUUCGGAAGUAGAAAUCGAUGUUUGUGGUAUGGUAAUUGAAAAUGAAGAGGGAAAGAAAAAAUUAAAACAGGAAGGAAUAACUGUUAGUGAAGAAGGCUUAUCAGAAGCAAUGAUUGAAAAUUCUGAGCAACUUCAUAAUAUAAAACCUUUGAGAUCGGCGGCUGCCAAAAGGUAAGCCGACCGGACGCAAUGAAAAGUAUA